ensembl:lncRNA
AUGUCUGCGUUUCCGGGUAUUGAAAAAAAAAAAAAAAAUAAUUUUUGCAUGCACUUUUUAAAAAUAUAUAUAUAUUUUCAACAACAAACCAUUUAUUUUAUUAUGUGUGUAUGCAUUUAUUUUAUUGAUCAUUUUAUUGUUAUUAUUAUUUACUUUUUCUUUCACAAAAACAAACAAACAAACAAUUUUAUUAUCAAUAUUAUGUUAAACUUCUCUUCUUUUGUGUCCCGCAGAAGAAAUCAAGUCAAAUGGGCUUGGAGUGACAUGAGGGUUUCCAUUGAUCCCCGGGACAGGAGACAGUGCUUAUACAGCCCCAAAAGGCCGUCUGGAACAUCUUAAGAAGUAAGGAUUGAUCAAACGAGGUGCUUGCGUUUAGUGGUAUGAGAUCUUUAUUCUGAUAUAAAUCUUCUGAUUGCGUCCUCAGGUGUGAACGGGGUCACUGGUUUGGCAGGUGAGAGCUUGUGUCAGGUGUGAUCGUCAUGUGCUCACGGUUCACGCGUCUCAGGAGAGGCAGCAUAAAUGACACAUUUGUCAUGCUCCCUUCCCAGAUUAGAUUAGUGCGCUAAUUCCACGGCGAGACUCGCAUGGCGGCGCGCCAUCCCUCCAUUAGCGUUAUUACUGACGGUGUUUGCAGCAAUUAAUUGUCAGUCAGUUAAUGCAGAGAGAUCGGGGCGAUUGCAGUGACCUGACGGAAGACUGGAAGGCUGCAAACGAACAUCACUAGAGUGACGGAUUUGAAGUGCACUACAUAGGGAGCGACUCGAAUGCUUGAAAGAGAUAUUGUUAGUGUUUCGCUAAGCUGACCACAUGAUCAAAUAAACAUAAGAACACACCAAAAAACACACAUAGUGUGCAGUUUUUAUGAGAAAUACUAUGUUUUAAUUUAGACUGAAUUAUAAGUUUGAACUUUGCUUACGCAAACCAAUAAAUCAAACUCUAAAGACUUAUCAUCAUGUUUGGUAUGCUGGGUUUCAUUAGCAUCAGUACAAUAAAAGAACAAGAUUUUGAUAGAUUAUUUUGAUUUUUGGAUAUUUGGAGUGUCACACACCAAACACAAUGAUAAAAUAUAGUGCUUUUUUUGACAUAGAUGAGCCCAUAGAUGACCUCCUGAAGUGAAUCAAUGCGUUUGUGUAAGAAAAAUAUCCUUAUUUAAAACUUUAUAAACCGUAGUCUCUAGCUUCUGCUAACUGUUGUGCGCGCGUUCAUUCCGGCGGAUGACGUAGACGUAGCAUAAGUUUUAAAUAUGGAUAUUUUUCUUGCACAAAUGCAUAAAUUCACUUCCGGAGGCCUUUAUUAACUUCCUGGAGCUGCGUGGAGCACUUUUUAUGAUGGAUGGAAGCCCUUUUUUGGGCUUCAAAAUCUCAACACCCAUUCGCUGCCAUUAUAAAUUUUUUAUUUUAAUAUAACUCUGUUUGUAUUCGUCUGAAAGAUGAAUGUCAUACACACACCUAGGAUGCCUUGAUGGUGAGUAAAUCAUGAGGUCAUUUUUAUUUUUGGGUGAACUCUCUCUUUAAGUCUCAGUCUGAGCUCUAAUAGGUAUGUGUUUGUGUGUGUUUCUAUCCAGUGGUUUUGGUGUGUUUGUGACAUGUCAGCGUUUGAUAAGCAGAUGGCCCGCGUGUCUGUACCUGCUCACUGUGGGGACGGCACUCAGUGACCCGGUGCAGUGUGGGUAGAGAGCGGGUGUCAGCAGUCUUUCCGAACGCCACGCUCUAAUGAAUAAUAAUCCCGCGCGCGUGACAGACGGCGGGGGGGAGUUUCGGGGACGGGGAGAAACUUGAAGGCGAUGCUAAUUCAGUAAUUCCACCAACUCCUCGGACGGAUGUUUUUGUCAUUUCUGGACGGGCUCCAAAGCGGAGGGAGGGGUGACGUUCCCUUUGAUGAAGAGGCUCACCUUUACAGCGGGAAGCGUGUGUCUGCGACGCAGAGCCGCGCUCUCAUUAAUAACGUGAUCGGGUCAACACAACCUCUCUUGUCUGAAUAUAUGAGAGUUCUACAGUAAGUUUGAGAUGUCCCUGUGCGGCCCGAACGCUCCACCUGUGUGUUUACACACGGAUUCGUAAUACAGCAUCACCGAAACACAGGAACACAAGGACGUGACGGAGUCACGCCGAGGUCAAAGCCAGCAGAUUCUCGCUAAAUGACUUUCAGUCUGAAGAGACGUCAGAGAAAUCACGUUUACUUUUACGAGAGGUGCAUAGCACUGUUAUAUUAGUAUUAUUUAUAUAGUACAUUGAAAAAAACAAAAAAAAGUUCAUUUUUAUAAGAAAAUACAAGAAAAGUGUUUUUCUACUUCAAAAUUUCAUGUUUAAUUCACUGUGUUACUUGGUGAUUCUU